rnacentral:rRNA from 1 species
GUGGGGAAUAUUGGACAAUGGGCGAAAGCCUGAUCCAGCCAUGCCGCGUGUGUGAAGAAGGUCUUCGGAUUGUAAAGCACUUUAAGUUGGGAGGAAGGGCAGUAAGUUAAUACCUUGCUGUUUUGACGUUACCGACAGAAUAAGCACCGGCUAACUUCGUGCCAGCAGCCGCGGUAAUACGAAGGGUGCAAGCGUUAAUCGGAAUUACUGGGCGUAAAGCGCGCGUAGGUGGUUUUGUAAGUUGGAGGUGAAAUCCCCGGGCCCAACCUGGGAACUUCCUCCAAAACUGCAUGACUAGAGUACGGUAGAGGGUAGUGGAAUUUCCUGUGUAGCGGUGAAAUGCGUAGAUAUAGGAAGGAACACCAGUGGCGAAGGCGACUACCUGGACUGAUACUGACACUGAGGUGCGAAAGCGUGGGGAGCAAACAGGAUUAGAAACCCGGGUAGUCC